UUUUUUUUUUUUUUUUUUUUUUUUAUGGUGUGGUGUUUUAAUUUUUUUUUUUUUUUUUUUUUUAAUUAUUAUUCUUUUUUUUUUAGAAGAUACCAUUGCAGAGUCAAAUAAUGUGACAUACUCAGAAGUCGGGAAAAGAGGAAAGAAAUGCAAAAGUAAAGAUAUUAAUACUGCAGGACCCAGUGAUUUGACUUACGCACAGAUCAAUAUACAGGACAAGAAGAAAACCAAAGGCAAAGGUGCUGGACUUUCUGAUGUUCUGAUUGAAAUGAAAACUAAGAACAAACACAGAGGGAAGAGCAGUGAGUCUGGAGACACUUUGUACUCUGAACUGAAGCACAACACAGAUAGAGAUGCUGAUGCUGAAGUUGGUGAUGCAACUUAUGCUGCACCUAUUAGGAAGAAGAAUAAAACCCGUAAGAAUUUGCACUUGUUCCUGCAGAUUGUGGCACAUAUUGGUUCUUUUACAUUAUAAAUAUGUUUUAAGUGAUUCAGAUUAGUUGCGUGUGAGUAUGAAAAGUUAAUCAUGAUCUUAGAACAGUAAAUCAUCAGCUCAAAUCAGAGGUUUGUGUUAUUCACAUCUCCUGCAUAAAGCAUCAUCUUUUAUCUGUUUAAAGGUCCCUGAGUGCAGAGAAGACAACAGACGGCUAAAAGAGAUUCACAGCAGCAGACACAGUAACGCUUGCAUUGCUUAAAAAAUUAAUCUGAGUGAACUGCUUAUGCACAUGCUUGAUUGAAAUACUUUAGAGAUAUGCAGUGUAUUAUCUGUACACAUUUUAUGUAAGCAAAAAAAUUUAUCUAUAAUAUUUAGUACAACAUUUUCUCCAGUGGGCACUUAUGUUUAACACAACUCUAAAUGAAACUGUCCUAAACGUUAUUCCAUUAUUCUGUUGGUGCUGCACAACAGUGUAAUAAAUAGUGUAACUGGGCAUUUAGUUGAUAAAAU
ensembl:lncRNA